AUUGAACGCUGGCGGCAGGCCUAACACAUGCAAGUCGAGCGGAUGAAGGGAGCUUGCUCCUGGAUUCAGCGGCGGACGGGUGAGUAAUGCCUAUGAAUCUGCCUGGUAGGGGGGGAUAACGUCCGGAAACGGGCGCUAAUACCGCAUACGUCCUGAGGGAGAAAGAGGGGGAUCUUCGGACCUCACGCUAUCAGAUGAGCCUAGGUCGGAUUAGCUAGUUGGUGGGGUAAAGGCCUACCAAGGCGACGAUCCGUAACUGGUCUGAGAGGAUGAUCAGUCACACUGGAACUGAGACACGGUCCAGACUCCUACGGGAGGCAGCAGUGGGGAAUAUUGGACAAUGGGCGAAAGCCUGAUCCAGCCAUGCCGCGUGUGUGAAGAAGGUCUUCGGAUUGUAAAGCACUUUAAGUUGGGAGGAAGGGCAGUAAGUUAAUACCUUGCUGUUUUGACGUUACCAACAGAAUAAGCACCGGCUAACUUCGUG
rnacentral:rRNA from 1 species